GGGUUGUGAGGUUAAGCGACUAAGCGUACACGGUGGAUGCCCUGGCAGUCAGAGGCGAUGAAGGGCGUGCUAAUCUGCGAUAAGCGCCGGUAAGGUGAUAUGAACCGUUAUAACCGGCGAUACCCGAAUGGGGAAACCCAGUGUGAUUCGUCACACUAUCAUUAACUGAAUCCAUAGGUUAAUGAGGCGAACCGGGGGAACUGAAACAUCUAAGUACCCCGAGGAAAAGA
rnacentral:rRNA from 2 species